GCUCAUGCCCAAUGGUGGUAGUUUGACUACAGACUAUGACAACGUCACAUGUCAAGACAGAAGAGCCACUGUUCAGCUGAAUUACAAGCAUAUAAAUGAAAUGCAUGGAUAUCUGUGAGGCAUGGAUUAGAGGCCACUGUAAGAGCCCUUUUGAACUCCAGCUUUCUGCACUGAUCCUUUCCAAGGAUUACCCAAACCUUUCAAGGCACAACAAAGCUGCUGGAUGAAAGUGUCAUAGUCAUAAAACAGAAGAGUGGGUUAGCAAAUGGAGA
rnacentral:lncRNA from 1 species